AUGGCCGAGAAAGGCAAAGACGCCUCAGUUGUUGCUGUCUUUGCAGGGAUGUCUGUUGAUUCCUCAUCAUCGGUUUGCUCUACAACGUCUUCAGAGUACUAUCUGGAUUUGGAAAUGCCAGAGGUGCAAGAAUUCCGUGCAAAUCUGCGCAUUCAGAAAGCAAACCCUGUCCCCAAAAAAACUCCAGCGCAGAAGUUAGCCGAGAGUUGGCGAACAAUCGAACAGCUAAAAAACCUUGAUCCAGAAGAGUAUGACGAGGAUACCACGUUUUUGUGCAGAGUCUCUCUGAUAGACAUAGAUUGCAGCAAUGGCUGGUGCUACCUUGGAUGCGACACCUGCCAGAAGUCCAUGUACGGGGCCCCAAGGAAAUACAAGUGCGCGCGAUGUGGCCCGAUCAAGAGGCCAGUUCAGUGGUACAAGCUGAAGGCGAAGGUGGAAGAUGCCACGGGCACAAUGGACCUGAUGAUCUUCUGCGAGGUGGCGGAGGAGCUGGUCGGUGUCUCUGCAGAGGAGCUCGUCGGUAACAUCGAGGAAGACGACGAGUGGUACGCCCUGCCCGACGAAAUCGAUGAUCUUAUUGGCUCGACGCACACCUUCCAGGUUUUCGACAAGUACGUGAACGGGAGCUUCGCGGUGAGGUCGAUCAUGGACGAUGCUAGCGUCCCAGCCCCUCCUUCAGCCGCUAGUCAAUGCAAGGAGGUGGUGGACCCUGAGGGGAGCCAGAAACCUAACAAGCGCCUGCGAGGGGACGACUCGAUCAACUAG
rnacentral:rRNA from 1 species